GAUGAACGCUGGCGGCGUGCUUAACACAUGCAAGUCGAGCGAGAUUAUUCUUCGGAAUAGUCUAGCGGCGGACGGGUGAGUAACACGUGGGCAACCUGCCUUGUAGAGGGGGAUAGCCUCCCGAAAGGGAGAUUAAUACCGCAUAACGUUAUUGGAAGGCAUCUUCCGAUAAUCAAAGGAGUAAUCCGCUACAGGAUGGGCCCGCGGCGCAUUAGCUAGUUGGUGAGGUAACGGCUCACCAAGGCGACGAUGCGUAGCCGACCUGAGAGGGUGAUCGGCCACAUUGGGACUGAGACACGGCCCAGACUCCUACGGGAGGCAGCAGUGGGGAAUAUUGCACAAUGGGGGAAACCCUGAUGCAGCAACGCCGCGUGAGUGAUGACGGUCUUCGGAUUGUAAAGCUCUGUCUUUGGGGACGAUAAUGACGGUACCCAAGGAGGAAGUCACGGCUAACUACGUGCCAGCCGCCGCCGUAACAC
rnacentral:rRNA from 1 species